rnacentral:misc_RNA from 1 species
UAGGAUCCACUGUGCG